GUGUCAGCCGCCGCGGUAAGACAGAGGGUGCAAACGUUGUUCGGAAUUACUGGGCAUAAAGAGCACGUAGGUGGUGCGCUAAGUUACGUGUGAAAUCCCCCGGCUCAACCGGGGAAUUGCGCGUGAUACUGGCACACUUGAGGCGGGUAGGGGUGAGCGGAACUCCAGGUGGAGCGGUGAAAUGCGUAGAUAUCUGGAGGAACACCGGUGGCGAAAGCGGCUCACUGGACCCGAUCUGACACUGAGGUGCGAAAGCUAGGGUAGCAAACGGGAUUAGAUACCCCCGUAGUCC
rnacentral:rRNA from 1 species